AGUCAAAACAAAACAAUUCUCGAAUGGAACACGGAAAACAAUACUCAAGGCUUCGCGAAGGCGGGAUUGGUGGGGUAAACUAAUUAAGGAAAGCCUCAAUUGCGACGCAGACGAAAGUUGAGACAGACACAGAGCGAUCGAUCGAGCGAACGAUAAUGAGAGAGUGGGAGAGCGAGAGAGGGAGAUAGCGAAUCACGCUGAGUCAGAGCAGAACAUGCGAUAGACUACACUUGGAAACUAAAGUAUCAGGCACGUUUUACAUUGUUAAGAAACCAAUUUGAAAUAUCUAUCUAAGAAAAAUUC